rnacentral:rRNA from 1 species
UGCCUCAUGAAUCAUAAAUAUAAGGUAUAUCCUGCCCGGUGAAUUUAAAUUUAAACGGCUGCGGUACCCUGACCGUGCAAAGGUAGCAUAAUAAUUUGCCUUUUAAUUAGAGGCUAGAAUGAUAGGAAAAACGAGAGGCCAGCUGUCUCCUUUUUACUAUACAAGAAUUUGAGCUUCUAGUGAAGACGCUAGAAUAAAAGUGAAGGACAAAAAGACCCUAUUGAGUUUAAUCUUUUACCAUAAUAUUUUCUUAACCUCCAGGCUGAGAGAAUAUAUAUGAGCUAGAUUUGGUUGGGGCAACCAGAGAUCAACUAAACCAUCUCUCUUAACAAAAGAUAUCUAUUAAAUUAACCAAUAAAUUUUAAUAAGAAAUCAACUACCAUAGGGAUAACAGGCUAAUCCUCCUAGAGAGACCACAUUGACAGGAGGGGUUGGCACCUCGAUGUUGGC